GGUGGGAGGCGCCCCGCCCGCAGCUCGGCCCCGGCCCUGCGCCCCGCGGAUCUGAGCGCAGGUGAUUCUCUUAAGCAGCCAGAGAACUAUCCGGCCAUGUGCCCACCAGUUACAGACGGAAGAGUCUGAUGGAGGAGAUGUGACCAUUUGCUGUUGACAGAUUUUCACGUCCAUUAUUUUUUCUGCUGCUGAGAGCCCUCUUUGGAGCCUCAUUCUACAGUUGGAGGAGUGAGGCAAAAGUGAUCAGCAGACUCCCCAGAAGACACAGCCAGGAUACACAGGGCUGGGGUUUAGAAGCUGCAGCCUCCGACUCCCCGUGCCAGUGCUCUCCCGAGCUAGACUCCAGGAGCCUGGCCUGAGGGCCACCUGGGCAGGCUGCCAACGCCGGGAACUCACGGACAGGCACAUUGUGAGCUCCAGGAAGCCGUCCGCCGUUCCUAGACCAGUCCACAGAGCCAGAGGGCCAGCCUGCCUCAAAUAUGAUGGGUGGAGACAGGAACUGAGAACACUACUUUCCCAGAUCGUAGCAGCUCCAGGCCAGGCCCGCCGGCUUUCCUGGGCACCGAGGGGCCUGAGCCUUGGCCACGCCUUCCCUUGUUGGCCUUGGCGCUCUCGUCCUCAGUCUGGCAGUCCCCCUGCCCCCCACCAGCUAUUCUCCAGUGUUUUACAGGCUCUUGGCAAUGACAUCUAUUUAACCUGCUUCCCAGAAAACAGGGUGGUUGGGCAGGCCGACUGCGCCAGCACCUUGGUGGGAAACAGGGCAGUGGACCUCAGCUCGGGCUUUUCUUGCCUUGGGGCCGGGUUGGGAGGUGGCCCUAAGCGGCCUUGGCUUACCUGGGUCAGAAAUAACCUCAGCUCAACUCACAGCCUAGAGCAGUCAGGCUGAGGCAAAAGCUUUGAGCUCAUGGAGCUGGGGACAGGGGAGGGAUAAGCCUUUGCCCAGGAGUCUGAUCAGGGGCAGUCAUUUAGCUGGGGGCCUUGGGUAAAGCCUCCUCACCCUCCCCGACUCUUGCCUCAUUUGUUGGAUGGGCAUGAUAGUGCCCUUUUAGACAUGUGUCUGAAUACGUGGCUUCCGAAUGCAAAAGCAAAGUCGUUUCCCACUUCUCUCUGCUUCCAGGAGGACACUUGAGCAGAGAGCCCUGGGAGGGGUCUGGCACGGAGAAGAUGCUCACUUCAUGCAGUUGCACCGCUCAGGAAGCGAGGUUUGGGUCUCAGUGUGUUGGAAAGGGCCUUCCGUCCUUAUCUCUGCCAAGAUGGCCUUUCCUUCCGCUUCCUCUCUGGCUCUCCUGCCCUGGCCGGACCCUAUAGGGUUCGUGGUUCUGGCUCAAGAUGCUGCAGUCCUCUCGGGCCCGGCCCACCGAGAUCCAGAGCCCAGGGAGCCUCCUUCCCCUCCUGCAUGUUCGUCCUGCAAGUCCAGACACCGUCAACUCCAAGGCGUUUCCCCUGGGCCUGGGCCAGAGUAGCUGCGGCCGCGCUCCUCCCUCCCCCACCAGCCUCCUUGGGUGCAGACAGCCCAGCACAGGCAGGAAGGGCCUUCUGUUUGCCUUGGCUGGUGGGGAAGAGAUUAGUGCUCGCUCUCUGAUUUGACUCUUGAUUCUAACUAGCAGACAGGCCCGUGACGUUGAAGAAAAACACUUGAGCCUUGAAUGAGGUUGGGCCCUGGUCCUGAUGCCUGGCCCCUGGAGAGGUGUCUGGAGGUAGAAAUGGGUGAUAACACCACCCCUUGGGUAUGUGGAGAAAUGUGGUGUGGCUGCCUGUCCGCUUUCCCUACCCACAGCAUCCAUGAUUCUUAUAAUGCCUCUUCUCUGUUGGAAGGUCACUUGUCCCCAAUGUCAACACAGAGACUCCCCUUGGGAGAUUCUGCAGUAACUACGGGGAAAGAGGCAUUCGUUUUUUGUGGGAUUUGCCAGGUUGAUGGACCUGCUAGUGGCCAUCCUGUUCUCUGUUUGAGGUCGAAGCCAACAAAGAGGAAAAAGCUCAGAGAUGAAGAGAAUAUGCUGUCCAGGUAUCCAUAAGCUUCUGGAUCCAGCUAUGCCUGAAGCUGACUAUACUCAGGAUUAACCUGAUUAUAUGAGCCAAUGCAUUUCCUCUUUGCUAAAAUUAUCCUAAGUUGGGUUUCUGUCAUAGAAAGGGUCCUAAUAAAGCAGUGCUUUUCUUUGGUCUCAUAAAAACUUUGAGGUAUACUUUGCAUGCAAUAAAAUCUACCCAUUUGAAGUGCCCAA